GGACAGAUGUCCGAGUGGCCGAAGGAGCAGACCUGGAAAGUCUGUAUACCCCAAAAGGGUAUCGAGGGUUCGAAUCCCUCUCUGUCCG
rnacentral:tRNA from 1 species